rnacentral:rRNA from 1 species
CCUACGGGAGGCAGCAGUGGGGAAUAUUGCACAAUGGGGGAAACCCUGAUGCAGCGACGCCGCGUGAGUGAAGAAGUAUUUCGGUAUGUAAAGUCCUUUCAGUAGGGAAGAAAAUGACGGUAUCUGACUAAUAAGCCCCGGCUAACUACGUGCCAGCAGCCGCGGUAAUACGUAGGGUGCAAGCGUUACUUGGAUUAACUGGGCGUAAAGAGAGCGUAGGCGGCAGAGCAAGUCAGAUGUGAAAUCCCAUGGCUUAACCAUAGAACUGCAUUUGAAACUGUUCAGCUAGAGUACGGGAGAGGUAAGUGGAAUUCUUGGUGUAGCGGUAAAAUGCGUAGAUAUUAAGAGGAACACCAAUGGCGAAGGCGACUUACUAGACUAUAACUGACGUUGAGGCGCGAAAGCGUGGGGAGCAAACAGGAUUAGAUACCCGUGUAGUC